rnacentral:rRNA from 1 species
UACGUAGGGUGCGAGCGUUAAUCGGAAUUACUGGGCGUAAAGCGUGCGCAGGCGGUUUUGUAAGACAGAUGUGAAAUCCCCGGGCUUAACCUGGGAACUGCAUUUGUGACUGCAAGACUAGAGUGCGGCAGAGGGGGGUAGAAUUCCACGUGUAGCAGUGAAAUGCGUAGAUAUGUGGAGGAAUACCGAUGGCGAAGGCAGCCCCCUGGGAUAACACUGACGCUCAUGCACGAAAGCGUGGGGAGCAAACAGG